rnacentral:rRNA from 1 species
AACGAACGCUGGCGGCAGGCUUAACACAUGCAAGUCGAGCGCCCCGCAAGGGGAGCGGCAGACGGGUGAGUAACGCGUGGGAACAUACCCUUUGGUUCGGAAUAACUCAGGGGAAACUUGAGCUAAUACCGGAUACGUCCGUAAGGAGAAAGAUUUAUCGCCAAAGGAUUGGCCCGCGUCCGAUUAGCUAGUUGGUGAGGUAACGGCUCACCAAGGCUACGAUCGGUAGCUGGUCUGAGAGGAUGAUCAGCCACAUUGGGACUGAGACACGGCCCAAACUCCUACGGGAGGCAGCAGUGGGGGAAUAUUGGGACAAUGGGCGCAAGCCUGAUCCAGCCAUGCCGCGUGAGUGAUGAAGGCCUUAGGGUUGGUAAAAGCUCUUUUGUUCCGGG